rnacentral:rRNA from 1 species
AGAAUCAACGCUGGCGGCGUGCCUAACACAUGCAAGUCGAACGCGAAAGCCCCGCAAGGGGUCAGUAGAGUGGCAAACGGGUGAGUAACACGUGGGUGACCUGCCUUCGAGUGGGGGAUAACGUCCCGAAAGGGACGCUAAUACCGCAUGACAUCCUGCCUUUGGAAAGGCGGAGAUCAAAGCUGGGGAUCGCAAGACCUGGCGCUUGAAGAGGGGCCCGCGCCUGAUUAGCUAGUUGGUAGGGUAACGGCCUACCAGGGCGACGAUCAGUA